UACGUAGGGGGCUAGCGUUGUCCGGAAUCAUUGGGCGUAAAGCGCGUGUAGGCGGUCCGGUAAGUCCGCUGUGAAAGCCGGGGGCUCAACCCUCGGAUGCCGGUGGAUACUGUCGGGCUUGAGUACGGAAGAGGCGAGUGGAAUUCCUGGUGUAGCGGUGAAAUGCGCAGAUAUCAGGAGGAACUCCAAUUGCGAAGGCAGCUCGCUGGGACGUUACUGACGCUGAGACGCGAAAGCGUGGGGAGCAAACAGG
rnacentral:rRNA from 1 species